UCCGAAGUUUCCCCUCAGGAUAGCUGGAACUUAUGAAAAAGUAGUUUUAUCAGGUAAAGCGAAUGAUUAGAGGCUUUGGGGAAGAAACUUCCUCGACCUAUUCUCAAACUUUUAAAUAGGUAAGAUUUGAAGGAUACUUAAGUGAUCUUUCAAUCUCUUGAAUAUAAAGUUCUUAGUGGGCCAUUUUUGGUAAGCAGAACUGGCGAUGUGGGAUGAACCGAACGUUAAGUUAAAGUGCCAAAUAAUACGCUCAUGAGAUACCAUAAAAGGUGUUGGUUCAUUUUGACAGCAGGACGGUGGCCAUGGAAGUCGGAACCCGCUAAGGAGUGUGUAACAACUCACCUGCCGAAUGAACUAGCCCUGAAAAUGGAUGGCGCUUAAGCGUAUAACUUAUACUUAACCCUUACUUGAAUUAUUAUAGCGAGUAAGGAGUAGGAGGG
rnacentral:rRNA from 1 species